rnacentral:rRNA from 1 species
AGUCAACCUGCCCUGGAGACAAGGACAACCCCGGGAAACUGGGAUUAAUCCUUGAUAGGUCAUCUCAUCUGGAAGGAGAGAUGGCUUAAAGGGGUACGCGGGCUUCUUCCGCGAAUUCGCUCCAGGAUGGGACUGCGUCCGAUCAGGCUGUUGGCGGGGUAAUGGCCCACCAAACCUGUAACCGGUACGGGCCUUGAGAGAGGUGGCCCGGAGAUGGACACUGAGAGAAGGGUCCAGGUCCUACGGGGCGCAGCAGGCGCGAAACCUUCGCAAUGCGCGAAAGCGUGACGAGGUUAAUCCGAGUGACUUCCGCUGAGGAGGUCUUUUGUCAGCUGUAAAUAGGCAGGCGAAUAAGGGGAGGGCAAGCCUGGUGUCAGCCGCCGCGGUAAUACCAGCUCCUCGAGUGGUCGGGGCGAUUAUUGGGCCUAAAGCAUCCGUAGCCGGUUCCGUAGGUCCUCUGUUAAAUCCAACCGCUUAACGGUUGACCUGCAGAGGAUACCGCGGGACUAGGAGGCGGGAGAGGCGGACGGUACUCCGCGUGUAGGGGUAAAAUCCUUUGAUCCGCGGAAGACCACCAGUGGCGAAGGCGGUCCGCCAGAACGCGCUCGACGGUGAGGGAUGAAAGCUGGGGGAGCGAACCGGAUUAGAUACCCGGGUAGUCCCAGCCGUAAACGAUGCUAGCUAGAUGAUUCAUUCGCAAGUCGCGAAUGAAGUGUCGCAGGGAAGCCGUUAAGCUAGCCGCCUGGGGAGUACGGUCGCAAGACU